GCCCACUCUAUGAAUCUAAUGAAAGCUGUUGGUAGAGCAUGAGACUCUUAAUCUCAGGGUUGUAGGUUGGAUCCCCACGUUGGGCA